UCACUUAUUGACACGCUUGUCGAGCAACGCAGUCUCUAUUUUCCAUGAGCAAAUCUCUUCAUAAAUAAAUUUCUUCCUUACAAUCAAGAUCGAAAACCAGUGGAAAACUAAAACAUCUGACCAUUGAAUCCAUAGGAGACAUACGAUUUCAGUGCAAACAUUGCUGCCAUUGAAUCUCUUUUAGAGAUUAGCGAGACUGAUUUAAGCAAUGAUGCUUCUGAAAAUUAUAAUGGACGACGCACAAUUUGAGAUUCCUAUUUCUGAUGUCAUGAUGGACGGAUUUGUAAAGAGUAGGAGGAUUCCUCAGGAAAUAGGAUUCAGGAGCCGCAGCAUAGUGCCUUUAGUGCGUACGUAAAACCUAAAUCAAACGCCUCUGUGGAUUCUUCCACAUCCUGUGAGAAUCUGCACAAAAGAUGUUUCAGAUUUCUGAGAAAAAUUGAUGAAGAUAGAAAUCCAGAGAUCGCGCCGGUCGGCUCCUGCUGUUGCUCGCAACAAUAAUCAAAAGUUAAAGGUGUAAAAGAAGGAUCAAUCUAAAUCGGCAUUUAAGCACAUGAUUGCAGAGCGCAAUAGGAGAGUUUAAUUGAAAGAGCAUUUCGAGAAUCUCUACUCUCUUCUUCCAAGAAAUUGCAAGAAAGAUAAGCAUUCAAUAUUGGCGAAUACAACAUACUAUUUGACAGAACUAAAGCUUCGCGUUUGCGAGCUGGAACAACAAGUGAAAGUAUCGACGAAUCAAUUCCAGGGAAUUUUUCUAAUAGUGAAGAGGGAAGAGUAGGGUUCAAGUCCCAUGACAAUCAUUUCAAUUCAUACAGCAUAUUACUAUCACAUCCGCUGCCAAGUUAAAAUUAUAAUUAAUGUGCAGAUGAAAAUGGCUUCUUGUUCAGCAAAUUUAUUUCUCAGAGUAAUAGAGCUUUUGAGAGCAGAGCAGUUAGAGAUCCUUUCAGUUUCACAUGAAAAGGGAUUUGGAUUUCAGGCUACUUUUAUCGUAUUAAGAAAGGGUGAGGACUGGAAUAUUUUCCAUUGGCCAUCUUUCGGGAGCUUAGUUAGCCGAACUCUCAAAUGAGCACUUACAGGAGUGGAUGAUAAUAUUACACUGCAAUAGGAAGUUCCUAUUCCCACGCAGUCUGGAUGAUAAGCUUUUGGCAACUUUUGAAAUCACUUAUAAUCUGGUUCUGAAAUCUGAUUUUUCAAAGAAGCGAUGAUUUACUUGGAAAUUUCCAAAUUGUGAGGGAAUCGAUUGACCAAAUCAGUGGAUAGGAAAGUGUUACUUGUAAAUUGCACAUUGAUAUGAAUA